UCUCUCUUGUUCACUCUCGAGUGCGAUUUCCGGCGGCAUAACCACCGUGAGCCACCGUCUCUAAUCACCCCGUAAACAUAAAUCCCCACUCGUUUCCGAUCCUAUUGUGACUCCUCAGCUUAACAUCGCUCUCGCCUCUUUCGUCUUCGUUCGGACUCUCUCUCUCUCUUCGUCUCGUCUUCUUCUCCGAUGCGAUCUUGCUCUCUCUCGAUCUCGCGCGGUUUCUAUGAUUCAACCUCUUAAACGGCCGGUAUCGCUCCGAUGUCUUCUUCAAAAGUGUGAUGUAUUUCUCUGUUGCAAUUGCAGAUGAUGAAGAUGAAGGUUCUGUGUUGACUGACGAUUCUCUGUAGUUGCGAUGGAGGAUGAAUUGCGAUGAUAUUGCCUCGUGUUGCUGUUGAUGAUGAAGGAUGCGCAAAGAGGUGAUGAUGUUGCUGUUAUCGUGAAUUUGCGAAUCGUGUUUGACAAGAAUUGAAGAUCGCAGUUGAGGCGUGAUGAUGAGGUGAAGAUUCUUCGAAGAGCGACGAGACCGAAGAUUUUGUUGCAGAACGAAGGGAGAAGCUUGGAGAAUGGAUCGAGAAUGCUUCAAGUUUGUUACGGUUUGUUCCUCUCUCAAUUUUCUUUUUCUGUUACGUUUUCUAGUUUUUUUUUCUCGAUUCCGUUACUGACUUUCCUCUUGUUUGAUUCCCCUUUUUUGGUUUCUCAAGAUAUGAUGGAGAUAGAAAGAUGAAGAGCGUUGGAGGUUGAACCAUGGAAGUUCUGAGAUGAUGCAGGUGGUGA